GAAGAAGUAUCACCAGACUGUAUAUGUCCUCUCUCUGUCCUGUAAUAAGUGGACUCUGAGCUCAUGUGUUGGUGUCUCUUCACCUCUUGGUGAGGUUUUC